ensembl:snoRNA
GUGUCUUUCAGAAAGAAUUUAAAGGAUCAGACAAUGGUUUCAAGCAGGAGCCUAAAGAGAUGCCUUUCUAUGGUCUGUUGGCCAUUUCAGAAGUUGGACAGUGAAAUGGUCAAUUCAUUAGAAACAGCU